rnacentral:lncRNA from 1 species
UUACUCAAUAUAUGUUUUCACCUCUAGAAAAUUUAAGAGAAUAUAUGUUUGAGCAGCUUGGAUUUCAUCUUCAGUCAUAUAUCUCGAUUUUCCCUUUCCGAUAGUUCUACCUGUGCAUUUGAAUAUGCUUAAUUUACCCGGUACAUCAUCAUCGGAGACAAAUUCAUGCAAGUUGCAUGGAACCUUUCGAUGUCUGGUCAUUACAUGUG